rnacentral:rRNA from 1 species
GACGAACGCUGGCGGCGUGCCUAAUACAUGCAAGUUGAGCGCUGAAGGUUGGUACUUGUACCAACUGGAUGAGCAGCAAACGGGUGAGUAACGCGUGGGGAAUCUGCCUUUGAGCGGGGGACAACAUUUGGAAACGAAUGCUAAUACCGCAUAAAAACUUUAAACACAAGUUUUAAGUUUGAAAGAUGCAAUUGCAUCACUCAAAGAUGAUCCCGCGUUGUAUUAGCUAGUUGGUGAGGUAAAGGCUCACCAAGGCGAUGAUACAUAGCCGACCUGAGAGGGGGAUCGGCCACAUUGGGACUGAGACACGGCCCAAACUCCUACGGGAGGCAGCAGUAGGGAAUCUUCGGCAAUGGACGAAAGUCUGACCGAGCAACGCCGCGUGAGUGAAGAAGGUUUUCGGAUCGUAAAACUCUGUUGGUAGAGAAGAACGUUGGUGAGAGUGGAAAGCUCAUCAAGUGACGGUAACUACCCAGAAAGGGACGGCUAACUACGUG